UACGUAGGUGGCAAGCGUUGUCCGGAAUUAUUGGGCGUAAAGCGCGCGCAGGCGGCUUCUUAAGUCUGAUGUGAAAUCUUGCGGCUCAACCGCAAGCGGUCAUUGGAAACUGGGAGGCUUGAGUGCAGAAGAGGAGAGUGGAAUUCCACGUGUAGCGGUGAAAUGCGUAGAGAUGUGGAGGAACACCAGUGGCGAAGGCAGCUCGCUGGAACGGUACUGACGCUGAGGCGCGAAAGCGUGGGGAGCGAACAGG
rnacentral:rRNA from 1 species